GCCUAGCCUUAAACAUUGAUAGCAUCCUACCCCCGCUAUCCGCCCGGGUACUACGAGCAUCAGCUUAAAACCCAAAGGACUUGGCGGUGCUUAAGAUCCACCUAGAGGAGCCUGUUCUAGAACCGAUAACCCCCGUUCAACCUCACCCUCCCUUGUCUUUUCCGCCUAUAUACCGCCGUCGUCAGCUUACCCUGUGAAGGACUAAUAGUAAGCAAAAUUGGUAAAACCUAAAACGUCAGGUCGAGGUGUAGCGCAUGAGAGGGGAAGAAAUGGGCUACAUUCACUAAUUUAGUGAAUACGAAUGAUGCACUGAAACGUACAUCCGAAGGAGGAUUUAGUAGUAAUCAGAAAAUAGAGCGUCCUGCUGAAACUGGCUCUAAAGCGCGCACACACCGCCCGUCACCCUCUCCUAACUCAACACCACAAAUAAUUAAUAUCAGACAUUCGUUAAGGGGAGGCAAGUCGUAACAUGGUAAGUGUACCGGAAGGUGCACUUGGAAAAAUCAGAGCGUAGCUAAAUUAGGAAAGCAUCUCCCUUACACCGAGAAGUCAUCCGUGCAAACCGGAUCGCCCUGAUACCAAACAGCUAGCCCCACCACACAAAAUAAAACCACCACUAUAAAUACCCCCAAACACACGACCUAAACAACCAACUAAACCAUUCUACCCCCUCAGUACGGGAGACGGAAAAGGAACCUGGAGCUAUAGAAAAAGUACCGCAAGGGAACGCUGAAAAAGAAAUGAAACAACCCAGUAAAGUUAAAAAAAGCAGAGACUAAAACUCGUACCUUUUGCAUCAUGAUUUAGCCAGAAACCCCCAAGCAAAGAGCACUAUAGUUUGACACCCCGAAACUAAGUGAGCUACUCCAAGACAGCCUAUUUUGGGCCAACCCGUCUCUGUGGCAAAAGAGUGGGACGAGCUUCGAGUAGAGGUGACAGACCUACCGAACUUAGUUAUAGCUGGUUGCCUAGAAAAUGAAUAUAAGUUCAGCCUCCCGGCUUCUCCACUCCCACAGUCCUUAAUCCCUUAGACACCUAAAGAAACCGAGAGAGUUAGUCAAAGGAGGUACAGCCCCUUUGAAACAAGACACAACUUUACGAGAUAGGUAAAGAUCAUAAUGCCCCAAGGAUAAAUGUUUUAGUGGGCCUAAAAGCAGCCACCUAAACAGAAAGCGUUAAAGCUCAAACAUAAUAACCCCCCAUAAUCCUGAUAACCCAAUCUUAUCCCCCUCCCACCAACUAGGCUUUUCCAUGCAAACAUGGAAGCAAUAAUGCUAAUAUGAGUAAUAAGAGAGGGACACCUCUCUCCUCGCACGCACAUACAUCGGAACGGACAACCCACCGAACAUUAACCGGCCCCAAACAAAGAGGGUAAUGAGCAACCAACGAACAACCAGAAAACCGCCCAAAAAUAACCGUUAAGCCCACACUGGCGUGCUCACAAGGAAAGACCCAAAGAAAAAGAAGGAACUCGGCAAACACCCCAGGCCUCGCCUGUUUACCAAAAACAUCGCCUCUUGUAAACCAAAAAUAAGAGGUCCCGCCUGCCCAGUGACAAUAAGUUUAACGGCCGCGGUAUUUUGACCGUGCAAAGGUAGCGCAAUCACUUGUCUUUUAAAUGAAGACCCGUAUGAAUGGCACAACGAGGGCCUAACUGUCUCCUUUUUCAAGUCAAUGAAAUUGAUCUCCCCGUGCAGAAGCGGGAAUAAGAACAUAAGACGAGAAGACCCUAUGGAGCUUUAGACACCAAAACAGACUUUGUUAAACACCCCUAAACACGAGACAAAACCAAAAAGACCCUGUUCUGAUGUCUUUGGUUGGGGCGACCGCGGGGGAUACAAAUCCCCCAUGUGGAUUGGGAGGCCCUCUCCUACAGCCAAGAGCUACAGCUCUAAGCAAUAGAACUUCUAACCUAAAGAUCCGGCAAAGCCGAUCAACGAACCGAGUUACCCUAGGGAUAACAGCGCAAUCCCCUUCUAGAGCCCAUAUCGACAAGGGGGUUUACGACCUCGAUGUUGGAUCAGGACAUCCUAAUGGUGCAGCCGCUAUUAAGGGUUCGUUUGUUCAACGAUUAAAGUCCU
rnacentral:misc_RNA from 1 species